rnacentral:snRNA from 1 species
CCACCGAGCGGCGGGUAGAAU